rnacentral:tRNA from 1 species
UCUCCUAUGGUGUAAAGAACACCUCAGUUUUUCGUGCUGGUGAUACAACUGUUUUUGUUGGGAGAG